rnacentral:rRNA from 1 species
AUUGAACGCUGGCGGCAGGCCUAACACAUGCAAGUCGAACGAGUGGCGGACGGGUGAGUAAUGUCUGGGAAACUGCCUGAUGGAGGGGGAUAACUACUGGAAACGGUAGCUAAUACCGCAUACCAUCAGAUGUGCCCAGAUGGGAUUAGCUUGUUGGUGGGGUAACGGCUCACCAAGGCGACGAUCCCUAGCUGGUCUGAGAGGAUGACGAGCCACAAUGGAACGGAGAAACGGUGCAGACGCCGACGGGAGGCAGCAGUGGGGAAUAUUGCACAAUGGGCGGAAGCAUGAUGCAGCCAUGCCGCGUGUAUGAAGAAGGCCUUAGGGUUGUAAAGUACUUGCAGCGGGGAGGCGUUACCCGCAGAAGAAGCACCGGCUAACUCCGUGCCAGCAGCCGCGGUAAUUC